GGGGAAUAUUGGACAAUGGGCGAAAGCCUGAUCCAGCAAUACCGCGUGAAUGAUGAAGGCCUUAGGGUUGUAAAGUUCUUUUAGUUGGAAAGAUAAUGACGGUACCAACAGAAAAAGCCCCGGCUAACUCCGUGCCAGCAGCCGCGGUACGACGGAGGGGGCUAGCCUUGUUCGGAACUACUGGGCGUAAAGGGCGCGUAGGCGGAUUAGUAAGUUGGGCGUGAAAGCCCUCGGCUCAACCGAGGAAU
rnacentral:rRNA from 1 species